rnacentral:misc_RNA from 1 species
AUAAGGUUUAGAAUAUUGGAAAGAAGAACUGGAUUAGGUUGUAGGGUUAUUAGUUAAAGCUUUGAAUUUGAAAGAGUUAGUGGUAGAUCUAGACUUCUUAGUAUUAUCCAGCAAUUGUUCCUGCAGUGAUGUGGCAGUGAUUUGACAGGAGACUUCUUAGUAUUAUCCACAUCAGUAAAAUUUUACCGCCAUGUCAUCACUCGAAUUUGAGAGCCUAUUCCAGUCUUGAACAUUCACAUGUUGAA